rnacentral:rRNA from 1 species
GAUUUCCGGGGGCCUAUAAUGCAGUCGUACGCUUCUUUUUCCACCGGAGCUUGCUCCACCGGAAAAAGAAGAGUGGCGAACGGGUGAGUAACACGUGGGUAACCUGCCCAUCCCAAGGGGAUAACACUUGGAAACAGGUGCUAAUACCGUAUAACAAUCGAAACCGCAUGGUUUUGAUUUGAAAGGCGCUUUCGGGUGUCGCUGAUGGAUGGACCCGCGGUGCAUUAGCUAGUUGGUGAGGUAACGGCUCACCAAGGCCACGAUGCAUAGCCGACCUGAGAGGGUGAUCGGCCACAUUGGGACUGAGACACGGCCCAAACUCCUACGGGAGGCAGCAGUAGGGAAUCUUCGGCAAUGGACGAAAGUCUUACCGAGCAACGCCGCGUGAGUGAAGAAGGUUUUCGGAUCGUAAAACUCUGUUGUUAGAGAAGAACAUGC